GGGCUCCCUUUGGCAGCACAUAUACUAAAAUUGGAACGAUACAGAGAAGAUUAGCAUGGCCUCUGUGCAAGGAUGACACGCAAAUUGCGUGAAGCUGCUCCAUAUUUUU
rnacentral:snRNA from 1 species